rnacentral:rRNA from 1 species
UACGUAGGUGGCAAGCGUUGUCCGGAUUUACUGGGCGUAAAGAGCGCGCAGGCGGUCGAUUUAGUCGCGUGUGAAAGCCCCCGGCUCAACUGGGGAGGGUCACGCGAUACUGAUCGACUCGAAGGCAGGAGAGGGUAGUGGAAUUCCCGGUGUAGUGGUGAAAUGCGUAGAUAUCGGGAGGAACACCAGUGGCGAAGGCGGCUUUCUGGGCCUUACCUGACGCUGAGACGCGAAAGCGUGGGGAGCGAACCGG